rnacentral:rRNA from 1 species
GGGGAAUAUUGGACAAUGGGGGGAACCCUGAUCCAGCCAUGCCGCGUGUGUGAAGAAGGCCUUAUGGUUGUAAAGCACUUUAAGCGAGGAGGAGGCUACUCUGGUUAAUACCUCAAGAUAGUGGACGUUACUCGCAGAAUAAGCACCGGCUAAUUCUGUGCCAGCAGCCGCGGUAAUACAGAGGGUGCGAGCGUUAAUCGGAUUUACUGGGCGUAAAGCGUGCGUAGGCGGCUUUUUAAGUCGGAUGUGAAAUCCCCGAGCUUAACUUGGGAAUUGCAUUCGAUACUGGGAAGCUAGAGUAUGGGAGAGGAUGGUAGAAUUCCAGGUGUAGCGGUGAAAUGCGUAGAGAUCUGGAGGAAUACCGAUGGCGAAGGCAGCCAUCUGGCCUAAUACUGACGCUGAGGUACGAAAGCAUGGGGAGCAAAC